rnacentral:rRNA from 1 species
UACGAAGGGUGCAAGCGUUACUCGGAAUUACUGGGCGUAAAGCGUGCGUAGGUGGUGAGUUAAGUCUGUCGUGAAAGCCCCGGGCUCAACCUGGGAAUGGCGAUGGAUACUGGCUCGCUAGAGUGCGGUAGAGGAGAGUGGAAUUCCCGGUGUAGCAGUGAAAUGCGUAGAUAUCGGGAAGAACACCAGUGGCGAAAGCGCUCUACUGGGCCAUAACUGACACUGAGGGACGAAAGCUAGGGGAGCGAAAGGG